AGGAUGAACGCUGGCGGUCUGCUUAACACAUGCAAGUCGAACGGGCGUAGCAAUACGUUAGUGGCGGACGGGUGAGUAACGCGUGAGAAUCUACCUUCAGGACGGAGACAACAGUUGGAAACGACUGCUAACCCCCGAUGUACCGAAAGGGCAAAUAUUUAUAGCCUGAAGAAGAGCUCGCGUCCGAUUAGCUAGUUGGAGAGGUAAAAGCUCACCAAGGCGACGAUCGGUAGCUGGUCUGAGAGGACGAUCAGCCACACUGGGACUGAGACACGGCCCAGACUCCUACGGGAGGCAGCAGUGGGAAUUUUCCGCAAUGGGCGAAAGCCUGACGGAGCAAGACCGCGUGGGGGAAGAAGGCUCUUGGGUUGUAAGCCCCUUUUCUCUGGGAAGAACGCAAUGACGGUACCAGAGGAAUCAGCAUCGGCUAACUCCGUGCCAGCAGCCGC
rnacentral:rRNA from 1 species